rnacentral:rRNA from 1 species
UACGUAGGUGACCAGCGUUGUCCGGAUUUACUGGGCGUAAAGAGCGCGCAGGCGGUCGUUCAAGUCGAGUGUGAAAGCCCCCGGCUCAACUGGGGAGGGUCACUCGAUACUGAUCGACUUGAAGGCGGGAGAGGGAAGCGGAAUUCCCGGUGUAGUGGUGAAAUGCGUAGAUAUCGGGAGGAACACCAGUGGCGAAGGCGGCUUCCUGGCCUGUUCUUGACGCUGAGGCGCGAAAGCUAGGGGAGCAAACGGG